rnacentral:rRNA from 1 species
GAUUAACGCUGGCGGCGUGCCUAACACAUGCAAGUCGAACGAGGUAGCAAUACCUAGUGGCAGACGGGUGAGUAACGCGUGGUCAACCUACCGUUGAGUGGGGGAUAACUAGCCGAAAGGUUAGCUAAUACCGCAUACGUCUCCGAGGGGCAUCCCUUGGCGAUAAAAGGAGCAAUCCGCUCGAUGACGGGACCGCGUCCCAUUAGCUAGAUGGUGGGGUAACGGCCUACCAUGGCACCGANGGGUAGCUGGUUUGAGAGAGCGACCAGCCACACUGUGACUGAGAAACGGCCCAGACUCCUACGGGAGGCAGCAGUGGGGAAUCUUGCGCAAUGGGCGAAAGCCUGACGCAGCGACGCCGCGUGAGGGAUGACGGCCU